UUUUUUUUUUUUUGUCAACAUUUUCAUUAGCUUCAUGGGCUUAAAAGGAGUACAAAGAUGGCACUUAAGCCCAACACGUGAAUAAAAGCAAAGUAACGAUACAAAUAAACACGUGUAACUUCUAAGCAAAAUUAUUGCUACGUGGCAGAGUAUUGGUGCACUCACAAGACGUGUCUGAUUCCACCUCUUUGACCAAACCGCCUUUGGUUUCAUCGCCGGUGGAAGGUUACCGCCGGUAAUGAUUCUUCUUCUGAAGCCACCGCAACACCUCAAAUCGCCAAGUCUUGUACUCCCAAACCUUUCGUUCUCAUCCGAGACUAGUUAACCAGAGUUAUCAUGAUUCACCGAUCAUUAAGAACACAGGAAGCUUGAGUCAGACUGGAGAGAGAAACUUUGAUGGACCGUAUCAACGCCAUCUCUACUGAUUCCACUCCAAUAAGACUUAAGAAAUCCAGCAAAACUCACCAUCUUGAAGCCGGGAGGCUUUACCAUAAAGCCAAAGACGGCUAGUAGAUCGGCAAAGUCUGAUUCCCUUUUAAAAAGAGGUCGAGUUGAGUCGGUGAAUAAGAUUCCCGAUUAGCGAGUCAACGGGAUUGGGAUGAAACACAACAAAAGGUUGAAACAUAGAUACUAGAUCAAUCUCAAUCGAAGAACAUCAAAAACACAAUCAUGAGGUUUUGCUUCGAUUUAGAUUGAAUACACAACAAAAAUUCGCCACUGCGAAUAUUAUUUAUCGCCACCGCGAAUAUACUAGUCGCCAAAGCGAAGAGAAAAAUAUAAUACAAAGCCAAAAAAACAAAAGAUUAUGGUGACCGGCGGCAAAGAGCCACCGGCCACCGGAACUUAUAAAGUUGGACGGAAUUUUCUUUUAGAAAGAAGUUGGAGAAAAAACUAGAGAGAGAU
rnacentral:lncRNA from 1 species